AUGCCCUGCCCUCACACCCCAGCCCUGAACCUCCCUGGCUGCUCAGCCCGGCUCUCUGCAGCCCUCCUGGGGCUGGGCAUGCCCAACCUCCCUCUCCUUUUUUCUCCCAAGAGAAAAGCCUCCCAGGGCUUUGCCUCUGGAGCAGCUUUUCCCCCUCCAGCUCCACCUCAGUGCCAGGGCAGAGAGGCCUCUUGCUGUGAGGAGCCUCCUCAGGGAGCUGGGGAGGGGCCUGUGUAUCUAGGUUGUGCCAGUUUCCAGGAUUCCCCUCCACCCCUAUCCCCGCCCCUCGCCCCGGUUCCUCGCACAGACGUGAGCAGCUGCAGCCAUGGAAGACUUCUUUGUAGAGGAGGCAGCUCCAGUGAAACAGGUGCAAAGAAUGUGCAGCUGGUGUGAACAAAGCUCUGAUCCCCCUGGAAGAAAGUCUGACAUACCAGGGUUUCUCCAACAGCCUGACUGGAGUAUCUGAAGAGGAAGAACAAAGGUGUUUUGGAAGUAAAAAGUGAACCCCAAAUUUUGCCCUGUUCAGAUUCCUCAUUUGAGCUGUGAAAUGAUUUCUUCUGUGUAUGCCAGAGGAGCCUGGGCUGUCCCUGGACAGCUUCUCAGAGGAGGAUCUGACCCUUCUUGUUCCACACCUGGUCUUGUGACAUAUUUUCCAAAUUUGGGACUUUUGAACAUUUGUAUCUGCUUCACCCAGACAGCUCCACUGCCUUUUGACUGAAAACUGGCUUUUUUACCCAAGUGGAUUCACUCCAUUUGGAUUAGAUGGCCUUUUCUGUUGUAUUUGUUUGCCCUAAAAACUAUAAACCAAAAUAAAAAGUAACUUUCAUGAGAGCA
rnacentral:lncRNA from 1 species